rnacentral:rRNA from 1 species
GAUGAACGCUGGCGGCGUGCUUAACACAUGCAAGUCGAACGGAAAGGCUCCUGCUUGCCGGGGUACUCGAGUGGCGAACGGGUGAGUAACACGUGGGUGAUCUGCCCUGCACUUCGGGAUAAGCCUGGGAAACUGGGUCUAAUACCGGAUAGGACGAUGGUUUGGAUGCCAUUGUGGAAAGUUUUUCGGUGUGGGAUGAGCUCGCGGCCUAUCAGCAUGUUGGUGGGGUAAUGGCCUACCAAGGCGUCGACGGGUAGCCGGCCUGAGAGGGUGUACGGCCACAUUGGGACUGAGAUACGGCCCAGACGCCUACGGGAGGCAGCAGGGGGGAAUAUUGCACAAUGGGCGCAAGCCGGAUGCAGCGACGCCGCGUGGGGGAGGACGGCCUUCAGGUUGUAAACUCCUUUCGCUAGGGACGAAGCGUUUUGUGACGGUACCUGGAGAAGAAGCACCGGCUAACUACGUG